rnacentral:sRNA from 1 species
AAGUAAACCCAACCACAAAAAAAUGGUAUUGUUAAUUCUAAAAUGCAAGUAUAAGCAGAGAUUGUUCAACAGGUAGAGAGAGGGGCACAGUAAAUAUUUGCAUUUUUACACUGUCUUGCUUCAAGGAAUGAAAGCCAAGUAAAGAGUGUUGGAAACAACAGCAAGCUUGCAUAGGCGACAAAAUUCUUCAAACCUGAAUUCCAAGUCCUGUCAGCAUCCCCUCAGCAGAUGAGCUUUGAAGAAGACUGGGAUCCGAACACUGGCAGCGCCACAUGAAUGGGGUUCAGGACAUUGACAUUGCUUGUUUUUUUUAGCAUUCUGUGAAUUUCCUAUUACAUCAGUUUCAUGAUUCAGCAUUUUCCUUUUCAUUUAUUUACAGUAAUAUAUAGCGAGAUAACCUAAGCUCGAUCGCAGGAUCCUGGAACAUAAGGUAGGCUGGGCAGCAAGGGUGUAGCCUUCUGUAAAUUUACUAUUUGCUUAGAACUCAGGGACAAAUGGGAGAAAGCAAGUCAUCCAAAGAACUGGGAAAUAUCUCCUCACCUUACUCUGAGGGUCUUCAUUUCUGUGGUAUUUAAAAUAGGUUACUGCCAUCUAGUUUGUAAGUCUAACAGAAGGCAAGAAGUGUGUAAACUGCGAACUGAUGUGCAUAAGCCAAACGCAGCUCUGAAAUGACAACGUUCAAGACGCAACUAAAGUCACCACUCUGGCGUGAUUCAGAAGUGGGCGAACUCCACCGUCUCCUGUAAACAUGUAACAAGGUGAAGCCUGGAGAUAAACUUAGAACUCCUACAAAGAUUAUUCUCCUUUCUGGAAAAAACUAUAAAUUUUCAACAAGGACAUAAAUGUGAGUGUCUUGUGGAAAAGAAUAAAGCAAACUCCUGAAAAUGUGGAGCAGGUAAAUCUGCAGGAGAGAAAAUCCUCCAGGUAAGGACACGGGCCAAUUGAACCAACGCCAUGAAAACUGCUAGCCUCGACGGCUCUGUUGUAAAAUGGAACGGCCUUCUCCGAGAGCUCCCACAAUUGUGAUAGGAAAGACUUCCAUGGCUCCCACAUGAAAGUGCUUUCUGCUUUUGGAGGUUCUAGAAACCUUAGGAGGUAGAGUCUAGCUGAAGGAUGAAGAUCACUGGGGGUGGGGGUGGGGUAUGUUAUCCUUGGCCCUUUCUCUCCUUUCUCUGCUCCCUGGCUACCAAGAGUCUAACCCUUAUGCUCUGCCACACAUUACCACUGCCAUGUUCUUCCAAAGUGACGGGGUCCAAGGGCAACAGAUUGAACUAUCUGAAGCAGUGAGCCUCAGGCAAUCUUUUCCCUCUUUAAGACAUUCUGUCAGGAAUUUUUGUCACAGUUACACAAACUCAGCUAAAAUGUCCAAAAUGUAUCCACCACUCUACAAUCCACUUGUAUACGGUGUCUUAUAAGUAUAAAAUCCUUAUUCAUGUUCAUAUCCACCAAGGAAGAGUCUCGAGAAUGUUCAUGGCGAUAGCAUAUGACUAAUCCACUGUAUCUACCCAAACGUCCAUCAACGAGGAUGUUGUAUGAAUGAACUCAUACGAUGGAAUGCUGUAGAGGAUUGGAAAUCAGUGUCCUGCAACUACAUACAGCAUCGCAGGAGGCGCAGCCCUGAGGACACCCAAGGCAAACAUCCCCAGCGCUUGGCACACCCAGAACCUCCACCCACCCUCCAUUCCUCGGGAAAACGCGGAUGAUUCCUUUCUCCUCAUCUCUCUCCGGGAUUCUGGGGGAAUGCAUCUAUGAGAAUCCUCUCGGCCUUCAGGGUUGACUCAGUCGUGACGAUGUCAUUUCUCCUCCUCUUGGUCCUUCUGGCCAGCUUCCCUUGCUCCUCUAAAACUUUCCAAGGCAGAGUUCUACCUGUUCUCACCGCAGAACUCCUCAAGGCCAGGGAGACCCUGAAAAGAGAGGAAGCCAAAGAUGCUGGAGAUUUGUGUCUAUUGCGUUUGGCUCCUCUGUGUCCGGGCUCAGCAGGGCAUAAAUAGAUAAUCAAAGAUUCUUUUCUUUACUCAGACUUCUAUAGUCAGAGGCCGAGUCUUCUCUUGACUUUAUUUUUUCACUUGAUCUUAGCCAAAAGACCGAGAAGCCAUUUGACUUUGCUUCUUUAAACUUUCUAGAUUGCACUGAGAAUUCCUCCAGUGUUAUUUGGAAAUGUUUAAAGCUUUUAAGUCAACAGCCCCAGCAGUUAAUCAGAAAGUUAUGUGUGCAUUAAUAUAUAUGCUGAGAUACUUAAAAAUACAACCUUUAUGAUCUUUUACAGCGUAUGUAUGUGUAUGUGCGUCCACAUGUGCCAAGAGAAAUACAUAAUUGCAUGCAUAACCGAUCUAAGGAGCUAGGCUAGGGGAUUGGCCAGCUCACUGGCAUAGGCCUGAGUUUAAUUCCAGGAGUAACUUACAUGAUGAAUAUCUCUCUCUCCCUCCCCUAGCCCUGUGUGUGUGUGUGUGUGUGUGUGUGUGUGUGUGUGUGUGUGUGUGUGUGUGUGUGUGUUUGAGUAUAAGCGGGUAGGUUCUGUGAUCCACUAAACAUGGUCCCUGCCCCUCUCCCCCUCCAGUCUCAUGGAUGUGGCUUCCCCAAGCCCAUCUAGAUCACAUGAAGUUUUCAACCCCGUUAACAGAAGAAAUUACAACGAUCCAAAGUUUUCACUGGAAGUUAAUGCUGCAGGGCCGAGAGAGACCUUGAAGAGACAAUCGUGCUGCUCCUUCUGAGGCCCUGAGUUUGAUUCCCAACAUCUGGCAGCUCACAACCACCUGUGAGGGCAACAUCAGGGGAUGUGAUACCUUCUCCUGGCCUCCAGAGGUACCCGUCCUCAGGCAGCUCUCUUAUUAAGACCUUGGAAUCUAUUAAAAGUCUCAUUUUGAAACAAUAAAGCAAGAGGAAGAAUUUAUGAAUUGUAGAUCUUCAGCAUUAACCCAACAACAGCCUUGGAGAGGAAAAGGAUUCUUCAGAGAGAAAAAUUAAUUCCUGCCAAGAAAAAUCUAGGAACAUAAGUUAGCGAGCCCUACCAGAUGCCUCUGACUACGCUGAGCAGGAACGAGGUACAUUCUAAUUUCUCAGGAAAAAGAAUUAUAGGCUAGCCUGUGCAUCGGGCAGCGUCCAGAAGGUUCCUCGGCCAGGUUCUCAAUCACAUGUGUAGCCCACAGUGAUGUCCUCCACAUCCAAGACCCCCUCUGAUCUUUGGAUCUGAUCGGUUCUGCGUUUGUCACCACGACUGAUGCAUCCAGACAUAACUCACCUCCUCCGAUCACUGGCGUAAUCUGCAUAGUGGAAGGCCAUGUUGUUUGCAAGAUUGGCUGUAAUGAAGCCUCAUGUCAGUGCCUGCCUGUCUCUGCAAUGUGAUGGUGUUGUCUACCACUAAGUGGUGUGAUCUAUUGAUUCCUCCCUGCAAGAGUUGAGAAAAACACUUAUCAAAAGAAUGCUAUGGAUGUGAUAUUUUGGCAACAGCUAAGCUUAGGCUUUAAGAAACCUUGCAGCUUCCAGUCUCACUGUCUUAGAACACAGACCACAUCAGAUAAGAAAGCCCAGGCUAGCCAUCUUGAAGACCAGACCUCUCAUUGACAGAGAACAGCUAACAGCCAGCAACAACUGCUAGUUGUAUUUUUGAGGACCACAAAACCAACAGAAUGUAUGCAGCCACUCCUUGAUAUCCGUUUACACUGGACUCUCUAGUUCCUGUCACACUGCCAGAUGAGAGUCGCUGCCCAAGUGACCCCAGAAGCGACCAAGCAGAAGAGCCACCCCACUGAGCCCAGCGCAAGACACUGACCUAAGAAUCAUGAACAAAUAAAACCGCUACGAUUUUGAAGAACUCAAGUUGGAGCCGUUUGUUACACAGCAGUGGGUGGAUGAAGAACAAUGAUAGAUACUUUAUAUCUGACACAAUGGCUUUAGAAAACUGACUGUUCUAACCCCUCUAACAACAGCCUCUGGGAUGGUGUUAACUUGUGAGGCUAAGAUGUUUCUUCUUGUUUCCUCCCCACAGCACCUUGUCACCUCUCACAGCAAUUCACACUGAGACUGGACUGUUUAACUUUGCUUUGCCAAAAGGAAUAAUAAAGGUCCUGAAAUGAUUGCUCAGCAACUGGCUGGCCCCAGGACGACGAUGGGUGUGGAGAUGGAAGGCAUCCCCAGUGGACCUCCUCUGCCCAGAUGAGUUGUGCCUAUGCUACCCAGCUGCAGCGCCAUUGCCAAGGGCCUGGAGCCUUCUGGGAGGCCACUGGGACAGGGACCGUUGGACACGAAUAGGGAUCUCCAGAGAAAUGAAACCAAAGAUGCUGGUACCCAAGAGGACUGGUUCAAAACCCACUGAGGAUGUCCAACUAUGCAUCAGAUGAUGUAGCUUUGCAUAGAACCCACACACAUCCUGCUAUAUUCCUGAGUCACCUCUAGCUUGCCCACAAUAUCUAGUACAGGGUAAAGGCUAUGCAGAAAGUUGUUAUGGUGUAAUAUUGAGGGGCUAAUGACAAGAAGAAAAAAAUCUACGUGAUCCUUGAGCACCAUUGUCUCCUGAACAUUUUUCAUGUGUGGUUGGUUGAAUCUGGGUAUGAAGCCUGUGGCACAGACCCGCUCCAAGGCAGACUGGAAGGAUGGGGAUACAGGCAAGUGUUUCAUUUUGAGUUCAAAGAUUGUCUGUGUGGGAGGUCUUCCUUUUUCCAUUACAUCCUUCACCUAGUUGGAUGAGGCUCACCCAUGUUAUUGAGGAUAUUUCAUUUUCCCCAAUGGCUAUGGACUUGCACAUUAAUGUUAUCUAAGAAAUGGCUCAGAGGGGUUAUGAGUGUAACUCAGGUGAUAGAGUCCUUACUUAGCAUGUGCAGAGCUCUGGGUUCAAUGCCCUGGACUGCAUGUAACCCCCUUGUGGUAUAUACCUAUAAUCCUGGCACCGAGGAGGUGGAGAAAGAAAGAUCAGACAUUUAAGGACAUUCUCAGAAACAUAGCAAGUUCAAGAUAGCCCUGUGCUGCAUUAGAUUGUCUCAGAAAUCUAAACAAGCAAGAGAGAGAGGGGGGAGGAGAGAGAGAGAAGGAGGAGAAGGAAGAGGAGGAAGAAGAGGAG